rnacentral:misc_RNA from 1 species
CUAAUUUCAGUUUUAUUGGCGAAUAAUCAUUAAUGAUUGAUUUUUAAAGCUUUAUUGUGUGAUAUUACUAUCAAUGGCAAUUUUUAAUCAUUUCCGAGCAUUCGUCCACUUAUGGCUUACAAAAGUUUUACUCGACAAUUAUUUCUCAAUCACCUAACGGUCAGUAUUGUAUUACAUGUGAUUACGAGGAAGACCAGAAAGGAAAAUGUGAAAG